rnacentral:rRNA from 1 species
AACGAACGCUGGCGGCAGGCCUAACACAUGCAAGUCGAACGCUCGUAGCAAUACGGGAGUGGCAGACGGGUGCGUAACGCGUGGGAACAUACCCUUUGGUUCGGAAUAACUCAGGGAAACUUGAGCUAAUACCGGAUACGCCCGAGAGGGGAAAGAUUUAUUGCCGAAGGAUUGGCCCGCGUCUGAUUAGCUAGUUGGUGAGGUAACGGCUCACCAAGGCGACGAUCAGUAGCUGGUCUGAGAGGAUGAUCAGCCACACUGGGACUGAGACACGGCCCAGACUCCUACGGGAGGCAGCAGUGGGGAAUAUUGGACAAUGGGCGCAAGCCUGAUCCAGCCAUGCCGCGUGAGUGAUGACGGCCUUAGGGUUGUAAAGCUCUUUUACCCGGGAAGAUAAUGACGGUACCGGAGAAUAAGCCCCGGCUAACUUCGUGCCAGCAGCCGCGGUAAU